rnacentral:rRNA from 1 species
UUGCUGCCUUGAGAAAUUGAGGGUUCCUUCGGGACGGAAUACAAGGUGCUGCAUGGCUGUCGUCAGCUCGUGCCGUGAGGUGUUGGGUUAAGUCCUAUAACGAGCGAAACCCUUUUACUUAAUUGCCAGCACGUAGUGGUGGGGACUUUAAGUAGACUGCCCGUGUAAGCGGGAGGAAGGAGAGGAUGAGGUCAAGUCAUCAUGGCCUUUAUUGCCCAGGGCUACACACGUACUACAAUGGCAUGUACAAAGGGAAGCUACUUGGUAACAAGAUGCAAAUCUUCAAAGCAUGUCUCAGUUCGGAUUGAGGUCUGCAAUUCGACCUCAUCAAGUUGGAAUCGCUAGUAAUCGCGUAUCAGCAAUGACGCGGUGAAUACGUUCUCGGACCUUGUACACACCGCCCAUCAAGCCAUGGGA